rnacentral:lncRNA from 1 species
UAUUAUGUAAGUGGUGUCGUGACUUGGAGGGAUAUCAGAUGAGGAUGGCACUUCCUUUUAGGGGACGGGACGUUUCUUAGGGUCUAAAAGAAUUAUUUCUUGGCCUCUGACAUAAGUUUCUCUGUAUUUAUCUUUAAGACUAUGAUUCCAAUAAUUCAAUAGAUGUUAUCUUGUUGGAUAUUUUUCAGUCUUAUUUUCUUUCAGCUGCACCAUGUUGCAACUGUUCUUUUUUCCUUUGUUACAAUUUUUUCUUUCUUCUUCCUUUUU